CCUGAGGCUGGUUUUGGUGUGCCCUUGAGAUUUAAGUACCCAAGUGGAUGUAUAAGAACAAGACGAUUCCAGCUAUCUGAUUCAUCCAGGUUUUGUUUGACUUUGUUGGAGGGGAUGAGGACGCCUCUGAAUACUUUUAUGUACAAGACGCCUUGUCGCUGAACAGACUGAAAAGCAUUAUGGAUGGAACCCUAAUGGAGAAUGGCAUCACAGGAUUAUGCACAUUGUAUGUGCACUGGAUUCAUUCAGAUGACCCUGAGUUUGUACCAUUGGAUUUCACACCACCACCUGUCCCCUGUUCCCCACAACUUGUGUCUUCACUUGGCCAUGAUGGGUCCUUACUUCAAGAGAGGCAUGUUUUCAUAUUGUGUGGUGG